UACGUAGGGGGCAAGCGUUGUCCGGAUUUAUUGGGCGUAAAGAGCGUGUAGGCGGCCAGACAGGUCAGCUGUGAAAACUCGAGGCUCAACCUCGAGACGUCGGUUGAAACCGUCUGGCUAGAGUCCGGAAGAGGAGAGUGGAAUUCCCGGUGUAGCGGUGAAAUGCGCAGAUAUCAGGAGGAACACCGGUGGCGAAGGCGGGUCUCUGGGCCGAUAUUGACGCUGAGGAGCGAAAGCGUGGGGAGCGAACAGG
rnacentral:rRNA from 1 species